rnacentral:tRNA from 1 species
AGGGGCAUAGCUCAGUGGUAGAGCACGUGCUUAGCAUGCAUGAGGUCCUGGGUUCAAGCCCAGCACCUCCA